rnacentral:rRNA from 1 species
UCGCACCUACCGAUUGAAUGGUCCGGUGAGGCCUCGAGAUCGUGGCAAGCUUUCUUAAUUGGAGGUGAGCUGUGAGAACUUGUCCAAAUCUUAUCAUUUAGAGGAAGGUG